ensembl:lncRNA
CUCAGCCUCCGGUGUCUGUCUCGCCUGUGUGGCGCUCUCCUGCAUCCCUCAGUAAGCAUCACUCUCUGUGGAGCCGGUGCGAGGCAUCCUCCCUUACAAACACCGGUCCUGGACAUCCUAGACAGCCCGUCCUGCGACAUAUUUUUACUUUGGACCCGUUGAUGUCACUUCCUGCUUGGGCAACUGCCUGUGCAAAUAAACCCAGGGAUGUGAAGGGGUGCUCGGGGAGCCAUUUUUUGAGGUCACGCAGCAGACAAGUUCACAAGGUCAUGCAGUAGCGACAUCUCCCAAAGCCGACAACAAGCUCGUUACUCUUAAAAUGACAACUAUCAUCCCAUCUGGCUCAUUCCAACUGUGCCCUAUAGUUUUAUAUAACCAGCUACAUCCACAUCAUCCUACCCCCCUGUGAUGCGCCGGCAAGGUUCAUUUCCUGGUACGCUGUGCGCAUUUACGGCCACGAUUAUGCAAUGAAGGCGGCAUCAUCACUUUUUGACAAAUGCUAUACAACGCAGCUGGGUCUCCUUUUACCCCAAUCCCCUUGUAGGCCCCAGUGAUAGAUGGGCAUCAACGUGCCAAUACUUCAAUGUAUUUCAAUUUCCUGCUCAGGAAAAGGAAUUCAAGGGGUUGAGCGAAGUUCAGAGUAACAGCGUGGUGCCUAAAGCUCACAACCUGUCCCCAGCCUCGUGCCGAGAACCUGAGAUCCAAACAUUCAGCUGAGAAAAUUCUUGAGACCAGGUCCUGUAUGUGUCAACAAAACAGCCCCUGCUGCCACUAUCCAGACUGAGAGACGGGAGCAAAGAGGAGCAAACGACAGCAGAUCCAACAGCCUGAGCAGUUAUUCUGAGCCUUGGAGGUCAGCACUGAAUUCUGGCCUGCUGUAAGACCAGACCAAGAUGAAGUGAGAAGGCCCCUCUCUUCAACAGGGAGUGGCAGCGCAACGUGGAAAGGCUUAACACAGACACACACUAACACACACACACCUCAUGUCUGUUUAUUCACAUCGGCAAAGCACGUGCAGACACAUGUGCGUGUGCGCACACACACACACACGCACACAAUCUGCCUCACCCUCACAUAGACAUACGCAUACAAAAGCACACCUGUCAGGGCCUUUCCACUGUGUGAGCAAAAGCAAAGAAGUCCGGCCCCCCCUCCGUCUCUCUGUAUGUGGUAUCCCAUGUCUGUUAUAUUAAAGCAAAUCUAUUCAGUUCCCACUUUCUUAUCUGAAAUAAUGGCAUGAGCAAUUUUCACAUUUAAGUAAGCAAGGACACAUGCAGUCUCUCUCUCUUCCACUCUCUCACUUAAUGAAUGGAAUCAGAUCUGGGCCCCUGUGGCUGCGGUCUAAUCUGCCUUUGAAGAUUUCUACAAUUUACAGAAAUAAAUAA